AUACAUGCAAGUCGAACGCUUUGUGGUCCAACUGAUUUGAAGAGCUUGCUCAGAUAUGACGAUGGACAUUGCAAAGAGUGGCGAACGGGUGAGUAACACGUGGGAAACCUACCUCUUAGCAGGGGAUAACACUUGGAAACAAGUGCUAAUACCGUAUAACACUAAUAACCGCAUGGUUAUUAGUUAAAAGAUGGUCUUGCUAUCACUAAGAGAUGGUCCCGCGGUGUAUUAGCUAGUUGGUAAGGUAAUGGCUUACCAAGGCAAUGAUACAUAGCCGAGUUGAGAGACUGAUCGGCCACAAUGGGACUGAGACACGGCCCAUACUCCUACGGGAGGCAGCAGUAGGGAAUCUUCCACAAUGGACGAAAGUCUGAUGGAGCAACGCCGCGUGUGUGAUGAAGGGUUUCGGCUCGUAAAACACUGUUGUAAGAGAAGAAUGACAUUGAGAGUAACUGUUCAGUGUGUGACGGUAUCUUACCAGAAAGGAACGGC
rnacentral:rRNA from 1 species